AGAGUUUGAUCCUGGCUCAGGACGAACGCUGGCGGCGUGCUUAACACAUGCAAGUCGAGCGGUAAGGCCCUUUCGGGGGUACACGAGCGGCGAACGGGUGAGUAACACGUGGGUGACCUGCCCUCCACUCUGGGAUAAGCCCGGGAAACUGGGUCUAAUACCGGAUAGGACCACUGAUCGCAUGGUUGGUGGUGGAAAGUUUUUUCGGUGGGGGAUGGGCCCGCGGCCUAUCAGCUUGUUGGUGGGGUGAUGGCCUACCAAGGCGGUGACGGGUAGCCGGCCUGAGAGGGCGACCGGCCACACUGGGACUGAGACACGGCCCAGACUCCUACGGGAGGCAGCAGUGGGGAAUAUUGCGCAAUGGGCGGAAGCCUGACGCAGCGACGCCGCGUGGGGGAUGACGGCCUUCGGGUUGUAAACCUCUUUCGCCAGGGACGAAGAGCAAUUGACGGUACCUGGAGAAGAAGCACCGGCCAACUACGUGCCAGCAGCCGCGGUAACACGUAGGGUGCGAGCGUUGUCCGGAAUUAUUGGGCGUAAAGAGCUCGUAGGCGGUGUGUCGCGUCGGCCGUGAAAACUUGGGGCUUAACUCUGAGCGUGCGGUCGAUACGGGCAUCACUUGAGUUCGGCAGGGGAGACUGGAAUUCCUGGUGUAGCGGUGAAAUGCGCAGAUAUCAGGAGGAACACCGGUGGCGAAGGCGGGUCUCUGGGCCGAUACUGACGCUGAGGAGCGAAAGCGUGGGGAGCGAACAGGAUUAGAUACCCUGGUAGUCC
rnacentral:rRNA from 1 species